rnacentral:rRNA from 1 species
GACGAACGCUGGCGGCGUGCUUAACACAUGCAAGUCGUGCGGUAAGGCCCUUUCGUGGGUGCACGAGCGGCGAACGGGCGGGUAACAAGCGCGCAACCUGCCCUUCACUUUGGGAUAACUGCCGGAAACGGUGGCUAAUACCUGCUAUGAAUUCCCCACGCCUGUGGGGUGGUGGAAAGCCUGCGGGGGGUGGGGGUAGGGCUCGCGGUCUAUCCGCGUGGUGGUGGGGGGAUGGCCUACCAAGGCUUCGACGGGUGUCCGGCCUGAGAGGGUGACCGGCCAGACUGGGACUGGGACACGGCCCAGAAUCCUACGGGAGGCAGCAGUGGGGAAUAUUGGACAAUGGGCGGAAGGCUGAUCGAGCAAAGCCGCGUGGGGGAUGACGGCCUUCGGGUUGUAAACCUCUUUCGCCUGCGACGAAGCGAGAGUGACGGUAGCAGGUAAAGAAGCACCGGCCAACUACGUG